rnacentral:rRNA from 1 species
GUAAGGAAUAUUGGACAAUGGGGGAAACCCUGAUCCAGCCAUGCCGCGUGAGUGAAGAAGGCCUUCGGGUUGUAAAGCUCUUUCAGAUGUGAAGAUGAUGACGGUAACAUCAGAAGAAGCUCCGGCUAACUUCGUGCCAGCAGCCGCGGUAAUACGAAGGGAGCGAGCGUUGUUCGGAAUCACUGGGCGUAAAGAGUGCGUAGGCGGUUAUACAAGUCAGGAGUGAAAUCCCAGGGCUCAACCCUGGAAUUGCUUUUGAAACUGUAUAGCUAGAGUCCCGGAGGGGUUAAUGGAAUACCGAGUGUAGAGGUGAAAUUCGCAGAUAUUGGGAGGAACACCAGUGGCGUAGGCGCCCAACUGGCUAGGUACUGACGCUGAGGCACGAAAGCGUGGGGAGCAAACAGGAUUAGAAACCCGAGUAGUCC